rnacentral:tRNA from 1 species
CUCUCGGUAGCCAAGUUGGUUUAAGGCGCAAGACUCUAAUUUAUCACUACGAAAUCUUGAGAUCGGGCGUUCGACUCGCCCCCGGGAGA